GGGUAACAUGAGGAAAGCUUGCUUUCCUUGAUGACGACUGGCGCACGGGUGAGUAACGCGUAUCCAACCUUCCCAUAACUACGGGAUAACCCGUUGAAAGACGGCCCAAUACCGUAUGAUAUCGUUUGCUGACAUCAAAUAACGAUUAAAGGUUUAGCGGUUAUGGAUGGGGAUGCGUCUGAUUAGCUUGUUGGCGGGGUAACGGCCCACCAAGGCUACGAUCAGUAGGGGUUCUGAGAGGAAGGUCCCCCACAUUGGAACUGAGACACGGUCCAAACUCCUACGGGAGGCAGCAGUGAGGAAUAUUGGUCAAUGGGCAAGAGCCUGAACCAGCCAAGUAGCGUGCAGGAUGACGGCCCUAUGGGUUGUAAACUGCUUUUAUGUGGGGAUAAAGUGCGUGACGUGUCAUGCAUUGCAGGUACCACAUGAAUAAGGACCGGCUAAUUCCGUGCCAGCAGCCGCGGUAAUACGGAAGGUCCGGGCGUUAUCCGGAUUUAUUGGGUUUAAAGGGAGCGUAGGCUGUCUAUUAAGCGUGUUGUGAAAUUUACCGGCUCAACCGGUGGCUUGCAGCGCGAACUGGUCGACUUGAGUAUGCAGGAAGUAGGCGGAAUUCAUGGUGUAGCGGUGAAAUGCUUAGAUAUCAUGACGAACUCCGAUUGCGCAGGCAGCUUACUGUAGCAUAACUGACGCUGAUGCUCGAAAGUGCGGGUAUCAAACAGGAUUAGAUACCUGGUAGUCCGCGCGGUAAACGAUGGAUGCUCGCUAUUCGUCCUAUUUGGAUGAGUGGCCAAGUGAAAACAUUAAGCAUCCCACCUGGGGAGUACGCCGGCAACGGUG
rnacentral:rRNA from 1 species